rnacentral:rRNA from 1 species
AACGAACGCUGGCGGCAUGCCUAACACAUGCAAGUCGAACGAGACCUUCGGGUCUAGUGGCGCACGGGUGCGUAACGCGUGGGAACCUGCCCUUAGGUUCGGCAUAACUCCCUGAAAGGGGUGCUAAUACCGGAUAAUGUCUUCGGACCAAAGAUUUAUCGCCUUUGGAUGGGCUCGCGUUGGAUUAGCUAGUUGGUAGGGUAAAAGCCUACCAAGGCGACGAUCCAUAGCUGGUCUGAGAGGAUGAUCAGCCACACUGGGACUGAGACACGGCCCAGACUCCUACGGGAGGCAGCAGUGGGGAAUAUUGGACAAUGGGCGAUAGCCUGAUCCAGCAAUGACGCGUGAGUGAUGAAGGCCUUAGGGUUGUAAAGCUCUUUUACCCGGGAUGAUAAUGACAGUACCGGGAGAAUAAGCACCGGCUAACUCCGUG